AUCAGAUUAAUAGUUUCGUGCGGCUUCACGUCAGAUACGAAAAGAUUGAGGAUGUGCCCCUUGCUGGGCUCCAGGAGCAACCAGGCGCCUAUAACGAGCACCAUGCAGCCAGCCAGCUACCAAAAAGAAAAAGAAUCGCACGAGAUAUAAUCUAAUCUGACGUUGAUCCAACGAUGCAAACAUUUAAAGGAUAAUUGUUUUGCUCUGGAAUACACAUAGAAGAAAUAUUUAUAGUUCAAGUACCAGCGCGUCUAAGUUGUCGGUACGUGUCGCUAUUUCUAGACUUAGUUUAUAAUGUUAUAAAGUAUAAGUGCAUGUUAUUUACCCAUAUUAAUAGAUUAAACGUAAAUAAC